UAUAUAUUUGAUGUAGCGUGAAAUACAAGUUAUCCUAUCAUUUUGCUAUAUAUAAAAUGCUCUAAACUUUGAGUAUACAUGUAUUCUAGCAAAACUAAAAAAAAUCCACCUUUUUAAUUGCAUCAAAUUAAAGCUUUGCAAAAUGGCAAUCCAAUCCACAAACAAUAUCCAAAAAUGGGUCACUCUUAUGAUCAUUUGUGUAGUGGUUUUAUCCACCACCAUACCAUCAGAAGCACGAAGUUAUAAACCAGCCCGUCGUCCUCCUCCUCCUCCUCCAAGGCCUAAUGUAUGCCCACUUUGUGUGUGCUGCAACCCUGCACCCCCUGGUGUUUGCUGCGGUUGCUGUCGUGUUGAAGACUCGUCACCUCCCCCUCCAUUUGUGAUCACACCCUAAACAAAUAUCAUCAUCCCAGAAGCUCAGCAUAAAUUAUUUUGGUAUAUUUUCGUUAAUGUUGAAUAUGUGCAUAUACGAUAUGUGUAUGUGUGCGCGCAUACCUACGUGUUCCUAAUUGUUGUAAUAAAUGUAAUAUAUGAAAAUCAACAUCUAUACUACGGGCAUGUUUGGCCAAACUUCUCGAUACAAUUUCUAUUUCAUAGAAGUAGUUUUUGAGAAGCUACUUCUGUAGAAAUACUUGUGAGAAAUAGAAAUGUUUGGCCAACCAAAUUCAGGAGUACAUUUGAGAAAUAUAAACAAGUUUACAAGUUUGCCCCAUUA